rnacentral:rRNA from 1 species
GAUGAACGCUGGCGGCGUGCUUAACACAUGCAAGUCGAACGGAAAGGCCCAAGCUUGCUUGGGUACUCGAGUGGCGAACGGGUGAGUAACACGUGGGUGAUCUGCCCUGCACUUCGGGAUAAGCCUGGGAAACUGGGUCUAAUACCGGAUAGGACCACAUUUUGGAUGGUGUGGUGGAAAGUUUUUCGGUGUGGGAUGAGCUCGCGGCCUAUCAGCUUGUUGGUGGGGUAAUGGCCUACCAAGGCGUCGACGGGUAGCCGGCCUGAGAGGGUGUACGGCCACAGUGGGACUGAGAUACGGCCCAGACUCCUACGGGAGGCAGCAGUGGGGAAUAUUGCACAAUGGGCGCAAGCCUGAUGCAGCGACGCCGCGUGGGGGAUGACGGCCUUCGGGUUGUAAACUCCUUUCGCUAGGGACGAAGCGCUAUGUGACGGUACCUGGAGAAGAAGCACCGGCUAACUACGUG